AACGAACGCUGGCGGCAUGCCUAACACAUGCAAGUCGAACGAGACCUUCGGGUCUAGUGGCGCACGGGUGCGUAACGCGUGGGAAUCUGCCCUGGGGUGCGGAAUAACUCGGAGAAAUCCGUGCUAAUACCGCAUAAUGUCUUCGGACCAAAGAUUUAUCGCCCUGGGAUGAGCCCGCGUAGGAUUAGCUAGUUGGUGGGGUAAAGGCCUACCAAGGCGACGAUUCUUAGCUGGUCUGAGAGGAUGAUCAGCCACACUGGGACUGAGACACGGCCCAGACUCCUACGGGAGGCAGCAGUGGGGAAUAUUGGACAAUGGGCGAAAGCCUGAUCCAGCAAUGCCGCGUGAGUGAUGAAGGCCCUAGGGUUGUAAAGCUCUUUUACCCGGGAUGAUAAUGACAGUACCGGGAGAAUAAGCUCCGGCUAACUCCGUGCCAGCAGCCGCGGU
rnacentral:rRNA from 1 species